rnacentral:rRNA from 1 species
UGUUAGGGAAGAACAAGUACCGUUAGAAUAGGGUGGUACCUUGACGGUACCUAACCAGAAAGCCACGGCUAACUACGUGCCAGCAGCCGCGGUAAUACGUAGGUGGCAAGCGUUGUCCGGAAUUAUUGGGCGUAAAGGGCUCGCAGGCGGCUUCUUAAGUCUGAUGUGAAAGCCCCCGGCUCAACCGGGGAGGGUCAUUGGAAACUGGGGAACUUGAGUGCAGAAGAGGAGAGUGGAAUUCCACGUGUAGCGGUGAAAUGCGUAGAGAUGUGGAGGAACACCAGUGGCGAAGGCGACUCUCUGGUCUGUAACUGACGCUGAGGAGCGAAAGCGUGGGGAGCGAACAGGAUUAGAUACCCUGGUAGUCCACGCCGUAAACGAUGAGUGCUAAGU